AGCUUUGCUCUGUGGCAGUGUCGUAGCUAACAAGGUUUAUCCAAGGCAAGAUUAUUGCUAAUUGAUUAUCUGUGUACAUUGUGGACAACCUUUGCAAGAUUUUCCUAAAU
rnacentral:snRNA from 1 species